GACGAACGCUGGCGGCGUGCUUAACACAUGCAAGUCGAACGGAAAGGCCCUGCUUUUGUGGGGUGCUCGAGUGGCGAACGGGUGAGUAACACGUGAGUAACCUGCCCUUGACUUUGGGAUAACUUCAGGCAACUGGGGCUAAUACCGGCUAGGAGCUCCUGCUGCAUGGUGGGGGUUGGAACGUUUCGGCGGUUGGGGAUGGACUCGCGGCUUAUCAGCUUGUUGGUGGGGUAGUGGCUUACCAAGGCUUUGACGGGUAGCCGGCCUGAGAGGGUGAACGGCGACAUUGGGACUGAGAGACGGACCAGACUGCUACGGGAGGCAGCAGUGGGGAAUAUUGCACAAUGGGCGGAAGCCUGAUGCAGCAACGCCGCGUGCGGGAUGACGGCCUUCGGGUUGUAAACCGCUUUCGGCUGUGACGAAGCGUGAGUGACGGUAAUGAGUAAAGAAGCACCGGCUAACUACGUG
rnacentral:rRNA from 1 species